rnacentral:rRNA from 1 species
AUUGAACGCUGGCGGCAUGCCUUACACAUGCAAGUCGAACGGCAGCGGGCCUUCGGGUGCCGGCGAGUGGCGAACGGGUGAGUAAUGCAUCGGAACGUGCCAUUGAGUGGGGGAUAACGUAGCGAAAGUUACGCUAAUACCGCAUAUUCUGUGAGCAGGAAAGCAGGGGACCGCAAGGCCUUGCGCUCUUUGAGCGGCCGAUGUCAGAUUAGCUAGUUGGUGAGGUAAAGGCUUACCAAGGCGACGAUCUGUAGCGGGUCUGAGAGGAUGAUCCGCCACACUGGAACUGAGACACGGUCCAGACUCCUACGGGAGGCAGCAGUGGGGAAUUUUGGACAAUGGGGGAAACCCUGAUCCAGCAAUGCCGCGUGUGUGACGAAGGCCUCGGUUGUAAGCACUUUGUCGGAACGGAAACGGACGGCUUCUAAUACAGAGUGCUAAUGACGGUACCCGCCAGAAUAAGACACCGGC